UUGCGUUAGAUGACUUGAGUUCGCUGUAGUAGACUUGCGUUCGAUGUAGUAGACUUGCGUUAGAUGACUUGUGUUAGAUGUAG